GGGCGUUUAGCUCAGCUGGUAGAGCAGCUCCCUUUUAAGGAGAAGGUCAGAGGUUCGAAUCCUCUAACGCCCACCA
rnacentral:tRNA from 1 species